AUUGAACGCUGGCGGCAUGCCUUACACAUGCAAGUCGAACGGUAACAGGUCUUCGGAUGCUGACGAGUGGCGAACGGGUGAGUAAUACAUCGGAACGUGCCCGAUCGUGGGGGAUAACGAAGCGAAAGCUUUGCUAAUACCGCAUAAGAUCUACGGAUGAAAGCAGGGGACCGCAAGGCCUUGCGCGAACGGAGCGGCCGAUGGCAGAUUAGGUAGUUGGUGGGAUAAAAGCUUACCAAGCCGACGAUCUGUAGCUGGUCUGAGAGGACGACCAGCCAAACGGGGACUGAGACACGGCCCAGACUCCUACGGGAGGCAGCAGUGGGGAAUUUUGGACAAGGGGCGCAAGCCUGAUCCAGCCAUGCCGCGUGCAGGAUGAAGGCCUUCGGGUUGUAAACUGCUUUUGUACGGAACGAAAAGACUCUGGUUAAUACCUGGGGUCCAUGACGGUACCGUAAGAAUAAGCACCGGCUAACUACGUGCCAGCCGCCGCCGUAAUAC
rnacentral:rRNA from 1 species